rnacentral:lncRNA from 1 species
UCACUUGCGCAUCGGGGGGGUGAAGCUCAGGGUCGCUGUCCUGUUCUAGUCUUGGUGAGGGCCCCAACGUGUCAUCCUUUAGCAUAUCCAUUGUGCGUUCCUUGUGGUUGUCAUGCUUCCGGGUGGUACAAGCGUCGUCAACAUGCCGGGUGUGGGGUCGGAGGUCGGUGGCGGGGAUGUCGAGAGCUCUGGAUUCGCGGUGCCGCACGGCAGGUUCGGCCAUGGCCCCGGCCGGGGGGCCACCGGUGGGGACGCCCCGUUUUUGGACAUGGUGCUGGCCAUGGAACGUGAAGUAUGAGUUGUGGGUUGUUGGAUGGCGGAUGUCCCUGGGUGGUUUGGCACAAUUGUUGGAGUCCGGUACGAAUUGCAGGAGGAAUCUGUA